rnacentral:tRNA from 1 species
GGCCCGAUCACUCUGGACUUUGAAUCCAGCAACACGGGUUCGAAUCCCGUUACGACCU